UCUUAUCUGAUUCUGCUCAUCACACA
rnacentral:piRNA from 1 species